CCCCCAAAAACUAGGCGUUGGUGAGGGGCAGAGCAACAUGUUGCGCACUUUUGAGAACUCUUCAAGUUGCUGUGCAUCCACACUCAGGGCUUUUAGAACUCAUUUCGUUGCUUGUGCCACCAACGUUUUGAUCCUAAAGCAACAACUCUACAAAAGGAGAGCAAGAUCUGGGCCUGCAGCUCAACACAGCCAGCAGUUUUAUAUUUUAUUAGCACUGGACAGAAUGUCUAGAUAUUUCAGUGUGUGGGUGUCUUUUGUCAUACUGCCCACCCUCCUGUUGGCUGUAGGGGCAAUUGUUUGUUCAGAGAAGGAGACAUUGCUGAAACCGAUCCCCAGCACGGUGACACAACUAACGGACUGUUUGAUGGAGUGCACUGGGAUGACGUACAUCAAAAAACUGCAACUUCGAGACACUCAUAAUAUUCGGCUUAAGGAUUCCACAGAAGAAGAUCUCGGGGAAUAUUGCUGGUCUAUGAAGCUCAAGUGUACCAUUGGAGAGAGCUUUAAGCGUGCCUACGUGGUGUUGCCUGUGGAUAUAUCUUCAGUUGGACAUCAGAUGCUGGAAGUCAGAACCACUAUCCCCUCUGCGACCACACUGCAUGCACAUAACAGCCCCACCACAAUCGCAGAGAGCUGUGGCCUCCGUUAUGACGUCACACAGCACUUCAGCACAGAGACGGCGGGGACUUUAUUCUGCAUACAGGUUGUUGCUCAAGAAAACAUCCUGGGGGACAACGUUCUGAAAUGUCCCCCAUAUCUGGUCACUUUCUGGCAGAGAAGUCCAAAUCAGUCGAACCAAGAAGGUGGUGGAUAAAAUCUCAGUAAUGGAAGAGGUACUCGUAGGUAAAAGUACUAAUACCAUACUGUAAAAAUACUCCAUUACAAAUGGAGUAUUAAGUAAGUAAUUAAGUAUUAAAAGUUCUCAGUGCAGACAAAUGUCCCCUGUGUCUGAUAUCCUAAGAUAUAUUACAUCAUUAGAGGAUAAUUGCUUCUGCUUUAAGGUAGAAAACAGGAUUUUACUGCUGUAGUUGGUUGGGGUGAAGCUUCUUUUUAAGCUAUUUUGUAUAAAUAUGCAGCUGAUGUUUCAUUUUCAUUAUGGAUUAAUCUGCUGAUAAACUAUAACAACAUCAUGUUAUGGCUGAAUUGUAGUAGAGUAGAAGUAUUAGGUACGGUUCUUGUGUGUGUCUUGUCUUCUUAUUGGUUUGCAGGUUGAUUUAACAUGAUGUAUUUGCCAUGCUUAAAAGCCAAUCUAAAUGUCUUGCUUGUAUUACAAUCAUAAUGUAAGAAUGUAAAGAGAUGUUAAUGGUUGUAUUUGUGUGUGUGGCAGUGUUAAAACAUUUAUUGUCCUUUUUCAGCCACGUAUCACUAUUGAGAAACAUCAAAAUACUUAUACUACUACAAAAUACUUAAUAAUAUUAUAUAAUUAUUGUAGCUUCAAGUAGAACUUUACUGUCUCUACUAGAGCGUAUCUUUUAAACAGAAUAAGUGUACACUCACAGAUUAUAUAACAGGUUCUAUGCACUCAUCUGUGAAAAUAUUUGUUGGGUUAGGGUUAGCGAUUGUGCAGGAAUCUUUGGAAAUAUACUACUAUAUUUGGAGAACUACUAUAGUAGUACUAUAGUAUGUGUGCAGUGUGCAUCCUGUAUGUGUUUGACUGGUUACUGUACACAUGCAGUAUGUCACUAUGUGCUGCUCUGAUCUGAUCAUAUAUAAUAUAAACGGGUUUCUAUUAUUAACCACUGCCCUUGUUGUGUGACCAUUAUCAUCCAUCCAUUGCCUCUUCUGUAUUGUAUUCUGUUCUGCUCAUAAUAAAUGAUAUAGUGCCACCUACUGGUAAACUAA